CUUCAAUGAGGCGCGGCUGUCUACAUGGUUAUAUUGGAAAAAUUUCGAUCCUAUCUGAAAAUAUAUAUACCAGUUCAUACACGCUAGAAGCAUAUGGACCGAGACGAAAUCUGGUGUUGUUGGAUUCACAGGAGGGAGUUGCGCGAAAAGCAAAGGGUGACAGCCGGUAGUUAGGGCCGGCAAGUAUGGGAGAAGGGGCCUGCACCGGGCCCCACUUCUUUCUCUCAGGAGUUCCUUCGAGUCCCACAUUACGUGGACAUAAAAGGCAACCCUGGCAUGGAGACCGUCUCUCUGACACAUUGACACAGCCUCUGAACCACCGUCUGCCCCGUCCUUCCACUACCUUUCUCGAGAUUCUCUAUUUUUCUUUAGCCGCCGCGCCGUUCGAGAUCGUCCGCUCCAUCCCUUCCCGCGUUUCCGUUCGGCUUCUUCACCGAUUCGAUAUCGCUGUUAUACGCCGAUCUUUGUCUAUCCGCUUCUUUUUGUAUCUCUAACGUAUGCAUCUGAAUAUGCAGUAUAAUAGGUCGUCGCCUGUUCGACAAUGAAACCAUAAAACUUCUUUAGAGUAACUUAAGGUUAUCUUCGUAUCGUAUCGCAAGAUCGAACGAUCUAUGUUAACUAAUCAUUUUUCGGCCCAAACUGCUUAAUACUUUUUUACAGGGAAUUGAAGAAUGCAUGAAGAAUGGAUUGUAAAAAUGGCAUGUAAGAAAGGAUUGAAACAUCUUGUGAAAUAUCAUGGAUUUCCUCCGUAAAGUCAAACAACUUGAAUAUGAAACGCUUUUUUGUAUUUUCAAUGAGUAAGGACAUAAUAGAGCGUAUAGGAAUAAGCCGGACGUACUGUAACUUUAAAUAUAACACAGACAUAAUAAAAUAACGUUAAAACAAA